GAUGAACGCUGGCGGCGUGCCUAAUACAUGCAAGUCGAGCGAACGGACGAGAAGCUUGCUUCUCUGAGGUUAGCGGCGGACGGGUGAGUAACACGUGGAUAACCUACCUAUAUGACUGGGAUAACUUCGGGAAACCGGAGCUAAUACCGGAUCAUAUUUUGAACCGCAUGGUUCAAAAGUGAAAGACGGUCUUGCUGUCACUUAUAGAUGGAUCCGCGCUGCAUUAGCUAGUUGGUAAGGUAACGGCUUACCAAGGCAACGAUGCAUAGCCGACCUGAGAGGGUGAUCGGCCACACUGGAACUGAGACACGGUCCAGACUCCUACGGGAGGCAGCAGUAGGGAAUCUUCCGCAAUGGGCGAAAGCCUGACGGAGCAACGCCGCGUGAGUGAUGAAGGUCUUCGGAUCGUAAAACUCUGUUAUUAGGGAAGAACAUAUGUGUAAGUAACUGUGCACAUCUUGACGGUACCUAAUCAGAAAGCCACGGCUAACUACGUG
rnacentral:rRNA from 1 species